rnacentral:rRNA from 1 species
ACUCAAAUGAAUAGACGGGGGCCCGCACAAGCGGUGGAGCAUGUGGUUUAAUUCGAUGCAACGCGAAGAACCUUACCUGGUCUUGACAUGUACUGGAAGACUGCCAGAAAUGGCGUCGCCCGCAAGGGCCGGUACACAGGUGCUGCAUGGCUGUCGUCAGCUCGUGUCGUGAGAUGUUGGGUUAAGUCCCGCAACGAGCGCAACCCUUGCCUUUAGUUGCCAGCAUUAAGUUGGGCACUCUAGAGGGACUGCCGACGUUAAGUCGGAGGAAGGUGGGGAUGACGUCAAGUCCUCAUGGCCCUUAUGACCAGGGCUACACACGUGCUACAAUGGUGGUCACAGAGGGAAGCCAACCUGCAAAGGGGAGCUAAUCCCGAAAAAGCCAUCUAAGUUCGGAUUGCAGUCUGCAACUCGACUGCAUGAAGUUGGAAUCGCUAGUAAUCGCGGAUCAGAACGCCGCGGUGAAUACGUUCCCGGGCCUUGCACACACCGCCCGU